GAGGGGAGGUUGCACAGAUGACAACUAAUCAUGAGCCCAAUACUGAGAACAACAUUGAAGUUAGGGAAAAUUAGUGUUUACAUAUAAUUAGGAUAUGUUUAUAGGUUAUGUUAUGGUAAUGUACAUGCUUAUAAGUACAAAUAUGAUAUAUAUGUUAUGAUUGUAUAUUUUGCCUUAUAGAGCAAUAUCAUUUCAUGACAUGUGCUUGUUCCACAGUGAAAAUCUCUUCUGUGGACAGAGGAACCAUGGCAUCUGGUAUGAUCAUUUCAUCCACUGAAACCUUUACCUCAUCCUCUAAUAGUUGCAUACCAUGACAUACAGUCGCUGACCUAAACUCUGUUCCGCGAGCUACNAGCACCAUCUCAGUAUCAUCUAAAAUGUAUAGCAGACAUGGACUACCAUCGUCCAUGUCAUCCUCUAGGAUGGCUGAUGCGGAACAACUUCCUUUCCUGCUUCUCCCUGUUAGAGUAUAUGUUAGAUUAUACAAAAGAUAGAAAUAAUUGCACAUAAAUGUUUAUUAAGUUUACCUAUGGGAGGGGCUGGGAUAACAUGUUCCUCUAUAGGAGAUGGCACCGGGCGCAUGUUCUGAAACUGCUGCUGGAACAUGCUUUGGAAUUCA
rnacentral:lncRNA from 1 species